rnacentral:pre_miRNA from 1 species
AGGGAAAUAGCUGGGUCAAAUGGUGGUUCCAUUCCCAGCUUUCCAAGAAAUCUCCAUACCGCUUUCCAAAUUGGCUUCACCAAUUUGCAGUCCCACCAGUAAU